AAUAUAUAAAAUAUAGCAAAUAUAAUGUUAUAUUAUGUAAUUUAUAAUAUAUUAUAAUAACAUUAUCUUAUAUUAUAUUAUAUUAUAUAUUUUAUAAUAUAUGUUAUAUAAUAUAAUAUUAUAAAUAUAAUAUACUAUAAUUUAAUAUAACAUUUAAUAGAUAAUUUUUAACCCAAAAAAGUUUUUAUUUAUAUUUUAUAAUUGUACUGGAACUUACAAUCUAGUUCCGGAACUGGCGUACAACUUCGGAACUCAGAACUUAGCUCCUCAAAAGCCAACAAAACCGAAAGCUUUGAAAUUGUAUUUUUUGAACUCGAUUCUGGAGCUCAGGACUCACCUUCUUGCUCUAGAGCCAACUUUCCAAAAUAGAAAUUUGACUUCUAAUCUAAUUCGAAUGUUUUUCAAAGAUAUAAAUAUGUAUUCAAGAGUUUCCAAAUGUCAGCUAUCCUUACGCUGACGGCGAAGUUGAGACAUUGUAGAAACAGGAUGAAGGAAUGGUGCAAGACGAAAUUUCAUAGCAUAUCCAACGCGAUAAGAUCUUUACAGGAAGAAAUUCGGGGUAUUGAUCUAUUGGAGGAACGGAACAUCUUGACCCAGGAAGUACGGGAUAAACGAGUUGAUCUUAAAGCGCAGCUUCAACUCAUUUUAGGGGCCGUUUGGUUGGAUGUAGUUGCAGAAACAGUGUAGUUGAAAAUACAUGCAGUUGCAAAUGCUGCAGUUAUAACUACACCUAGUCUGUUUGGUUUUACGCAGUUGCAACUGCUGCGGUUACAUUUCUUCUGUUUGGUAAUAUGAAGCUGAUAGUUGUAUUUAUGAAUUUUGUCACCUCUUUAGAUAGAGUGGUGAGGUUACCUUCACUAAACAUAAAAUAAUUAUAUAAAUUUAUUAAUUAUUUAAAUUUACUAUUUAUAAAUAAAUAAGUAGAUAUAUAUAAUAUUUUUAUAUUUUUCAAUAAUUCUUCAACUUAUUAAUCGACACAUUUAAAAUUUUUAAUUUAUUUAAUUUUAAUAUGUAAAUCAAACUUUAAAAAUUUAAACGAUUCUCUCAUUUUUUUUAUCAAAUUUAAUAAUUAUAAUUAAUUAAAACUUAUUAAAUUAACAUACACGAUCACAUUCUAUAAAAAUUUAGAAAAAAAAACUAUAUUUAUAUUUUAAAUAAAAUAAAUUUAAAAAAAUUAAUUUUUUGCACAAAGCUUGUAUUGUCUAAAAAAUUUUAUUAGUAUGAGUUUAUUUAUAAGUAUUUUUAUUUACCUAUAUACAUAUAUUAUUUAUUUAUUUAGCUAUUUAUUUAUUUAUUAUUAUUAUUAAUUUGUGGGUGAUCCUAUUCCUCACCAACUGCUGCAGUUGGAACUACGACCAAUUUGGAUGUAGUUCCAACUGCAGCAUUUGGGCCUUUUGUGCAGUUGGAACUGCAGCAGUUGAACUCAACUACACUAAACCAAACAAAGAAAUUGUGGCUGUACGCAUUUGCAACUGCACUGCAGUUGCAAAUGCGUACAACCAAACAGCCCCUUAAA
rnacentral:lncRNA from 1 species